UACGGAGGGUGCGAGCGUUGUCCGGAAUCACUGGGCUUAAAGGGCGCGUAGGCGGCAGAUCAAGUCAGGGGUGAAAUCCGGCAGCUCAACUGUCGAAGUGCCUUUGAUACUGAUUUGCUCGAGGGAUAUAGGGGUCUGUGGAACUUCUGGUGGAGCGGUGAAAUGCGUUGAUAUCAGAAGGAACGCCGGUGGCGAAAGCGACGGACUGGAUAUCUUCUGACGCUGAGGCGCGAAAGCUAGGGGAGCAAACGGG
rnacentral:rRNA from 1 species